AACAAUCUCUCAUUAUGUAUUUGUACCACGUUUGACACAAAGGGAUCUCAUCUUCAUGCUAAAAUUAACACUAUUUACAUCAGCACAUAAGCCACUGACAGAAAAGGGGCUCUUGCUUCCUUCAUCAUCUAGCAAACACAUUUUUUUGCAAGGUUAUGAUUAUAUUUUCUCCAUCUUGGUAGGCAAAUUGAUCAGGCUGUUUCAGGCACAGCAGCUCCCUCCUGCAAAAUGACAAGCAGCUUCUGCUGGGAGUUGGUGUUGUCUGGACUGGAGUUAUCCUGUGCCUUUCACAGCUCUUGCUCAGCCCCAGUCAUCUUAAGCACCCUUUUCAGAUGCUCCCCUGCAUCUUGUGACUGGUUUCAAAAUAUCUGCAUCACCCAGCCAAACACAUCAAGGAAACCCUCUGCAGGGAUAUUCACUUGGGAGCUUUCCUUCAGCCAGCUACCAAAUGCACACACUGAAGGUAUUUCAGACUUUGGCUUUUUGUCAAAAUUCAAAACUUAAUGAACCACUGAGCUGAAUGAAUGCAAUGGGCAGGCAGUGGUCAUCCUUGCAAUGCUACAUUUAAAAAAAAUAACAAACAGCGAAGUCACA